ACCUCUUUAAAGUACUUCCCCACGCCGGUAACCUUUUAAAAAUAGUGUUACACUUAGAAAUCUGAGCAAGUCUUCCGGUAGAAAAGUUGUACACAGAUAAAAAAAACAAAAAACAUCUUUCUAAAACCAUAAGCUUCUUCGCUCCAUUCAGAAUCUAAAACAGUUAAUAUCAAUAAUAUUGUUUUACUUACAUAAACAACGAAAUAAACCAAGUCAAUAAGGUUCCGAUAAUCAUGACUAAUAAUUCG